rnacentral:tRNA from 9 species
UCGGGAUAGCUCAGCUGGUAGAGCAGAGGACUGAA